UUUCGCAAUGCCCGAAAGGGUGACGAAGCGACGCCGCGUGGGUGAGGAAGGCCUUCGGGUUGUAAAGCCCUGUCAGGAGUUAAGAAAUGUAAGUGCGCUAAUAUCGCAUUUAUUUGACGAAGGCUCCAAAGGAAGCCACGGCUAACUCUGUGCCAGCAGCCGCGGUAAUACAGAGGUGGCAAGCGUUGUUCGGAAUUAUUGGGCGUAAAGAGCACGUAGGUGGGUUUGUAAGUCAGAUGUGAAAGCCUUCUGUUCAACGGAAGAAUUGCAUCUGAAACUGCGGGCCUUGAGUGUAGGAGGGGAGAAUGGAACUUCUGGUGGAGCGGUGAAAUGCGUGGAUAUCAGAAGGAACGCCGGCGGCGAAAGCGAUUCUCUGGCCUAUUACUGACACUCAGUGUGCGAAAGCUAGGGGAGCAAACGGGAUUAGAUACCCCGGUAGUCCUAGCCGUAAACGAUGGGCACUAAGUAGAGGGGUUUUA
rnacentral:rRNA from 1 species